GCGCUCGCUUUGGUAGAACAUAUACUAAAAUUGGAAUGAUACAGAGAAGAUUAGCAUGGCCCCU
rnacentral:snRNA from 1 species